AGCUUUUUGCAGUGGCGUAUCUUAGCCAAUGAGGUUUUUCCGAGGCAAGAUUAUUGCUAAUUGAAAACUUUUCCCAAUACCCCGCCAUGAUAACUUGCAAUAUAGUUGGCAUUGGCAAUUUUUGAUGGUCCCUAUGGGGA
rnacentral:snRNA from 1 species